CCAUCAUUUAAAAGAAAGCGUAAUAGCUCACUGGUCGAGUCGGCCGCGCGGAAGAUGUAACGGGGCUAAACCAUGCACCGAAGCUGCGGCAGCGACACUAUGUGUUGUUGGGUAGGGGAGCGUUCUGUAAGCCUGCGAAGGUGUACUGUGAGGUAUGCUGGAGGUAUCAGAAGUGCGAAUGCUGACAUAAGUAACGAUAAUGCGGGUGAAAAACCCGCACGCCGGAAGACCAAGGGUUCCUGUCCAACGUUAAUCGGGGCAGGGUGAGUCGACCCCUAAGGCGAGGCUGAAAGCGUAGUCGAUGGGAAACGGGUUAAUAUUCCCGUACUGGUGGUAACUGCGAUGGGGGAACGGAGAAGGCUAGGUUGUCCGGGCGACGGUCGUCCCGGUUCAAGCAUGUAGGCAGAGUGAUUAGGCAAAUCCGGUCACUUAAUGCUGAGGUGUGAUGACGAACCACUAAGGUGGUGAAGCAAUUGAUGCCCUGCUUCCAGGAAAAGCCUCUAAGCUUCAGGUUA
rnacentral:rRNA from 1 species